UACGUAGGGGGCAAGCGUUGUCCGGAAUUAUUGGGCGUAAAGCGCGCGCAGGCGGUCAUUUAAGUCUGGUGUUUAAACCUUGGGCUCAACCUGAGGUCGCACUGGAAACUGGGUGACUUGAGGACAGAAGAGGAAAGUGGAAUUCCACGUGUAGCGGUGAAAUGCGUAGAUAUGUGGAGGAACACCAGUGGCGAAGGCGACUUUCUGGGCUGUAACUGACGCUGAGGCGCGAAAGCGUGGGGAGCGAACAGG
rnacentral:rRNA from 1 species